UGGAUUCACCAAAAAAAAAAAAAACAAAAACAAAACGAUAAAUGUUCCAAUGAAAUUAUUGUUCAACAUAUAGACAAAAGAACCAUAUCAUUAUGUUGUUCAUUCAUUCGAAUGAAUUCAAAGUGCAACAACCAAUAAAUGUCAAUUGGUGGCUUUUUUUGAGUAGUGUAAAAUUUUCGUUCCAGGAGAAAAAAAAACCCGAAACUAAAUCGUUGAACAGAAAUAGGAAUAGUUUUGUAAAUUAUUCCCAAAUGUGCCAUCAAACCAUCAAAUUGGUCAUCAAAUGAUGAUGACCAGACACAUCAGAUUCAAAAUCAUCACCAGAUUCAUAAUGAUCUUUGAACAAAACACAAAAUGUCGAGAACAAAUCGAAUUUGGGUUUUGAUCAUCAUCAUCAUGUGAUUUUCUGUAAAAUUUUUUUCUUCACCAAUCGCU